AUGCAAGCAAAGCUGGAACGAUCAUCAACCCCAAUCAAGAACCGGGCCUCAAACAAACAAGAGAAAGAGAUCCACGUCAACACAAGAAGAAGAAGGAGGAGGGUGGGACGUUGCCAUCAGACCCGACCGUGCGCGCAAGACGUGCGGGUCACCGCAACCCCACGCAGGCACCCACCGCCCGCCCACAUGCCCGGAUUUGACCGCCAUGCCGAGCACCGGAUCCUCGCCGUGCCGCGCGGGACUUGCCACGCCCAACGUGCGUACGUUGAUGUUGCGUUUGUGCCGCCACUGCCGCUUGACUGA
rnacentral:rRNA from 1 species